rnacentral:rRNA from 1 species
CCUACGGGAGGCAGCAGUGAGGAAUAUUGGUCAAUGGCCGGAAGGCUGAACCAGCCAAGCCGCGUGAGGGAGGAAGGCGCAGAGCGUCGCAGACCUCUUUUGCCGGGGGACAAAAGGCCGGGCUCGGCCGGUCCUGAGGGGACCCGGAGAAAAAGCAUCGGAUAACUCCGUGCCAGACGCCGCGGUAAUACGGAGGAUGCGAGCGUUAUCCGGAUUCAUUGGGUUUAAGGGGUGCUAAGGCGGGCCUUUAAGCCGGCGGUGAGAUCGCGGGGCUCAACCCGGCCGGUCCGUCGGACAUGGGGGCCUUGAGUGCGGCGGAGGCAUGCGGAAUGCGCGGUGUAGCGGUGAAAUGCAUAGAUAUCGCGCAGAACCCCGAUUGCGAAGGCAGCGUGCCGUGCCGCCACUGACGCUGAGGCACGAAAGCGCGGGGAUCGAACAGGAUUAGAUACCCUAGUAGUC